CCUGGCGACAAUGGCGAGCUGGAACCACCUGAUCCCUUCUCGAACUCAGAAGUGAAACAGCUCCGCGCCGAUGAUAGUGUGAGAUAACUCAUGUGAAAGUAGGUCAUUGCCAGGC
rnacentral:rRNA from 1 species